GGGUUGUGAGGUUAAGCGACUAAGCGUACACGGUGGAUGCCCUGGCAGUCAGAGGCGAUGAAGGACGUGCUAAUCUGCGAUAAGCGUCGGUAAGGUGAUAUGAACCGUUAUAACCGGCGAUUUCCGAAUGGGGAAACCCAGUGUGUUUCGACACACUAUCAUUAACUGAAUCCAUAGGUUAAUGAGGCGAACCGGGGGAACUGAAACAUCUAAGUACCCCGAGGAAAAGAAAUCAACCGAGAUUCCCCCAGUAGCGGCGAGCGAACGGGGAGCAGCCCAGAGCCUGAAUCAGUAUGUGUGUUAGUGGAAGCGUCUGGAAAGGCGCGCGAUACAGGGUGACAGCCCCGUACACAAAAAUGCACAUGCUGUGAGCUCGAUGAGUAGGGCGGGACACGUGGUAUCCUGUCUGAAUAUGGGGGGACCAUCCUCCAAGGCUAAAUACUCCUGACUGACCGAUAGUGAACCAGUACCGUGAGGGAAAGGCGAAAAGAACCCCGGCGAGGGGAGUGAAAAAGAACCUGAAACCGUGUACGUACAAGCAGUGGGAGCACGCUUAGGCGUGUGACUGCGUACCUUUUGUAUAAUGGGUCAGCGACUUAUAUUCUGUAGCAAGGUUAACCGAAUAGGGGAGCCGAAGGGAAACCGAGUCUUAACUGGGCGUUAAGUUGCAGGGUAUAGACCCGAAACCCGGUGAUCUAGCCAUGGGCAGGUUGAAGGUUGGGUAACACUAACUGGAGGACCGAACCGACUAAUGUUGAAAAAUUAGCGGAUGACUUGUGGCUGGGGGUGAAAGGCCAAUCAAACCGGGAGAUAGCUGGUUCUCCCCGAAAGCUAUUUAGGUAGCGCCUCGUGAAUUCAUCUCCGGGGGUAGAGCACUGUUUCGGCAAGGGGGUCAUCCCGACUUACCAACCCGAUGCAAACUGCGAAUACCGGAGAAUGUUAUCACGGGAGACACACGGCGGGUGCUAACGUCCGUCGUGAAGAGGGAAACAACCCAGACCGCCAGCUAAGGUCCCAAAGUCAUGGUUAAGUGGGAAACGAUGUGGGAAGGCCCAGACAGCCAGGAUGUUGGCUUAGAAGCAGCCAUCAUUUAAAGAAAGCGUAAUAGCUCACUGGUCGAGUCGGCCUGCGCGGAAGAUGUAACGGGGCUAAACCAUGCACCGAAGCUGCGGCAGCGACGCUGAUGCGUUGUUGGGUAGGGGAGCGUUCUGUAAGCCUGCGAAGGUGUGCUGUGAGGCAUGCUGGAGGUAUCAGAAGUGCGAAUGCUGACAUAAGUAACGAUAAAGCGGGUGAAAAGCCCGCUCGCCGGAAGACCAAGGGUUCCUGUCCAACGUUAAUCGGGGCAGGGUGAGUCGACCCCUAAGGCGAGGCCGAAAGGCGUAGUCGAUGGGAAACAGGUUAAUAUUCCUGUACUUGGUGUUACUGCGAAGGGGGGACGGAGAAGGCUAUGUUGGCCGGGCGACGGUUGUCCCGGUUUAAGCGUGUAGGCUGGUUUUCCAGGCAAAUCCGGAAAAUCAAGGCUGAGGCGUGAUGACGAGGCACUACGGUGCUGAAGCAACAAAUGCCCUGCUUCCAGGAAAAGCCUCUAAGCAUCAGGUAACAUCAAAUCGUACCCCAAACCGACACAGGUGGUCAGGUAGAGAAUACCAAGGCGCUUGAGAGAACUCGGGUGAAGGAACUAGGCAAAAUGGUGCCGUAACUUCGGGAGAAGGCACGCUGAUAUGUAGGUGAAGUCCCUCGCGGAUGGAGCUGAAAUCAGUCGAAGAUACCAGCUGGCUGCAACUGUUUAUUAAAAACACAGCACUGUGCAAACACGAAAGUGGACGUAUACGGUGUGACGCCUGCCCGGUGCCGGAAGGUUAAUUGAUGGGGUUAGCGCAAGCGAAGCUCUUGAUCGAAGCCCCGGUAAACGGCGGCCGUAACUAUAACGGUCCUAAGGUAGCGAAAUUCCUUGUCGGGUAAGUUCCGACCUGCACGAAUGGCGUAAUGAUGGCCAGGCUGUCUCCACCCGAGACUCAGUGAAAUUGAACUCGCUGUGAAGAUGCAGUGUACCCGCGGCAAGACGGAAAGACCCCGUGAACCUUUACUAUAGCUUGACACUGAACAUUGAGCCUUGAUGUGUAGGAUAGGUGGGAGGCUUUGAAGUGUGGACGCCAGUCUGCAUGGAGCCGACCUUGAAAUACCACCCUUUAAUGUUUGAUGUUCUAACGUUGACCCGUAAUCCGGGUUGCGGACAGUGUCUGGUGGGUAGUUUGACUGGGGCGGUCUCCUCCUAAAGAGUAACGGAGGAGCACGAAGGUUGGCUAAUCCUGGUCGGACAUCAGGAGGUUAGUGCAAUGGCAUAAGCCAGCUUGACUGCGAGCGUGACGGCGCGAGCAGGUGCGAAAGCAGGUCAUAGUGAUCCGGUGGUUCUGAAUGGAAGGGCCAUCGCUCAACGGAUAAAAGGUACUCCGGGGAUAACAGGCUGAUACCGCCCAAGAGUUCAUAUCGACGGCGGUGUUUGGCACCUCGAUGUCGGCUCAUCACAUCCUGGGGCUGAAGUAGGUCCCAAGGGUAUGGCUGUUCGCCAUUUAAAGUGGUACGCGAGCUGGGUUUAGAACGUCGUGAGACAGUUCGGUCCCUAUCUGCCGUGGGCGCUGGAGAACUGAGGGGGGCUGCUCCUAGUACGAGAGGACCGGAGUGGACGCAUCACUGGUGUUCGGGUUGUCAUGCCAAUGGCACUGCCCGGUAGCUAAAUGCGGAAGAGAUAAGUGCUGAAAGCAUCUAAGCACGAAACUUGCC
rnacentral:rRNA from 1 species